GUAUGAAUGGCCACACGAGGGUUUUAUUGUCUCUUAUUUCCAAUCGGUGAAAUCGACCUUCCCGUGAAGAGGCGGGAAUAUGACAAUAAGACAAGAAGACCCUGUGGAGCUUUAAUUAACCGACCCAAAAAGAUCUUGUUAAUCAAACGACAAGGAUAACAUACCUCUACCAUGGGCCGAUAAUUGAGGUUGGGGUGACCUCCGAAAAUAAAACAACCUCCGAGUGAUUUAAAUCUAGACUAACUAGUCGAAAGUACUACAUCACUUAUUGAUCCAAAAACUUGAUCAACGGAACAAGUUACCCUAGGGAUAACAGCCCCCUCCUAUUUUAGAGUCCCUAUCAACAAUAGGGUUUACGACCUCCAUGUUGGA
rnacentral:rRNA from 1 species